rnacentral:lncRNA from 1 species
AUGGUGGUGAGACGGAGGUAAUCGAGGGUGUUGAAAUUAGCCACCGUCUUCGUAAAGGGAGGAUUCCGAUCUAUAACUGGAUACUCCGGCUUUGCCGAUGCCGUAAUGUCUGUAUUCAUCUUCUUACUCUCGAUCGAAUGGGAUUUAGGUUUUAGAAAAUGGGAGUUGAAUCCGCCAUUUUUGUUCAGUAUCAAACGUACUGAGCUUAGCUGUGAAUAUGGGCUGGGCUAAUUUCGGUUAACGUUGUUUAGAUUUAGAUUUUGCCUUUGGGCCGUAUGGUAUGUUUGGCUAACGUUGAAAAUGAGAAAGUUGUUUCCAACUUUCGGCACAUUUUCAUUUUGUCGGGUUAUCAUUCAUCUCCACCCGGCUUGACACUAUAUAGAGGAAAACAAAUGACCUUACAUCCGAAAGAUUACAUCAACGACAUACUUCAGAUAUUUCCAUACAAAGAAUUAAGAAAUGUAUUAUAAAAUCUUAGACAGGGACGAAUCAAGGUUUGAAUUCAAGACUGGGCUAAAAACAUUUCAAGCCGAGCUAAUACGUGAAAAAAAAUUGAGAAAAUUACCCAAUAAUAGGUGUUUAAAGAUUGUAAAUCAAAAAUCAGGGUAGAAGUUUUAUUUUUCACAAAUCAGGUAUGCCAAACCCCACCCCACCCUCUCUCUCUCUCUUCUAACCCCCGCCGCACUCACCCCACUCUCUCUCCUCACUUCCUCAAGCAGAGUCGGAACCACCGCCUCCGUUAGCAGCGGCGACAAACCACCUCUUCAUUCGUUCACCCCAUUCACUCAUCCCUUCAUCCACCCCAUUUUUCCCCAUGAACUGGUUCAUGCCGAUGACGAACCACCUCCAUUCACAACACCAGAUCGUCACUUCUCUCAGAGCUAGCACAUUUUUCCCCAUUUUCCCAUUCAAUAGAGGCUGGCGGCGAAUACCACCGGAAGUUGGAAGCACAGAUCGUCGCUUCCCCGUCUUCUGACGAUGAGUGGCGAACUACCUCUACUCCCAACAACCGCUUUUUCGAUGUUCGUGGCUGAGAGUAGACAACGUUUGUGGUUGAAUGUAGUUUAUGGGUUCUGAUUUGAGGCGGUGGUGGUGGUGCCGACCGACAGAUUUGGAGGCCGGCUUUGCCGAUGCCGUAAUGUCUGUAUUCAUCUUCUUACUCUCGAUCGAAUGGGAUUUAGGUUUUAGAAAAUGGGAGUUGAAUCCGCCAUUUUUGUUCAGUAUCAAACGUACUGAGCUUAGCUGUGAAUAUGGGCUGGGCUAAUUUCGGUUAACGUUGUUUAGAUUUAGAUUUUGCCUUUGGGCCGUAUGGUAUGUUUGGCUAACGUUGAAAAUGAG